rnacentral:rRNA from 1 species
UGGCUCAGGACGAACGCUGGCGGCGUGCUUAACACAUGCAAGUCGAACGGUGAUGUCAGAGCUUGCUCUGGCGGAUCAGUGGCGAACGGGUGAGUAACACGUGAGUAACCUGCCCCCGACUCUGGGAUAACUGCUAGAAAUGGUAGCUAAUACCGGAUAUGACGAUUGGCCGCAUGGUCUGGUCGUGGAAAGAAUUUCGGUUGGGGAUGGACUCGCGGCCUAUCAGGUUGUUGGUGAGGUAAUGGCUCACCAAGCCUACGACGGGUAGCCGGCCUGAGAGGGUGACCGGCCACACUGGGACUGAGACACGGCCCAGACUCCUACGGGAGGCAGCAGUGGGGAAUAUUGCACAAUGGGCGAAAGCCUGAUGCAGCAACGCCGCGUGAGGGAUGACGGCCUUCGGGUUGUAAACCUCUUUUAGUAGGGAAGAAGCGAAAGU